GAUGAACGCUGGCGGCGUGCCUAAUACAUGCAAGUCGAGCGAAUGGAUUAAGAGCUUGCUCUUAUGAAGUUAGCGGCGGACGGGUGAGUAACACGUGGGUAACCUGCCCAUAAGACUGGGAUAACUCCGGGAAACCGGGGCCAAUACCGGAUAACAUUUUGAACCGCAUGGUUCGAAAUUGAAAGGCGGCUUCGGCUGUCACUUAUGGAUGGACCCGGGUCGCAUUAGCUAGUUGGUGAGGUAACGGCUCACCAAGGCAACGAUGCGUAGGCGACCUGAGAGGGUGAUCGGCCACACUGGGACUGAGACACGGCCCAGACUCCUACGGGAGGCAGCAGUAGGGAAUCUUCCGCAAUGGACGAAAGUCUGACGGAGCAACGCCGCGUGAGUGAUGAAGGCUUUCGGGUCGUAAAACUCUGUUGUUAGGGAAGAACAAGUGCUAGUUGAAUAAGCUGGCACCUUGACGGUACCUAACCAGAAAGCCACGGCUAACUACGUGCCAGCCGCCGCAGUAA
rnacentral:rRNA from 1 species